AACCCAUGGUGAAGGCACCUUCUCAAUAAAUCCUUGUAUCUCUCCUAUGCAUCAUAAAGUGUUUCUAAAUCCAUCUGCACAAAAGAAGAAAUAUCAUUCUUCAACUU
rnacentral:snoRNA from 1 species